ensembl:lncRNA
UAACAAAUCAACAGUAAUCAAGCUGUUAAACGACAGGGUCGCUGUUGGAACCAGACAAGUUCCAGCCCUUGGUCCCUGACCUGGUCAAGAUCUGGACUUGAAGGAUAAAGGACUGCAGAGUAAAGCCAGCGAAAUAGAGUCUAGUGAGGGAGGAAAACGGGCGCUGUGCAGGUAAACCCCAGUUUAGGAAGGGUGAAUUGAAGGGGGAGGUGUUUGAUUUAGUUGGAGCACAGGUCGU